rnacentral:lncRNA from 1 species
UUCAAUCCCACUUUAUUCUGCCCUUACUUGGGUAUUACUCCAAAGUCACUCCUGCUUUACUCCGAGGUUACCCAACACUUCCAAGUCCACCUUACUCUGCCGUUACUUGGGCAUUACUCCGAGGUUACUCCUGUUUUACUCCGAGGUUCCGUGGCACUUUCAAUUCCUCCUUAUUCUGAUGUUUCUCUGACUUUAUUUGGGUAUUACUCCAAGAUUACUCCGGCUUUACUCCGAGGUUCCACAGCACUUCCAAUUUUACCUUACUCCGCUGUUACUCAGCCAUUACUCCAAGGUUACUCCGAUGCUACUCCUGCUUUACUCUGAGGUUCCACAACACUUUCAGCCCCACCUUAUUCCACCAUUACUUGGGUAUUACUCCAAGGUUACUCCUGUUUUACUCCGAGGUUACACAACUCUUUCACACAGUCCCACUUUAUUCCGAUGUUACUCUGCCUUUACUCGGGUGUUACUCCAAGGUUACUCCUGCUUUACUCCGAGGUUCCCCGACACUUCCAAUCCCACCUUACUCCAGGGUUACUCCGCCUUUACUCUGCUCUUACUCCAAGGUUACUCCCAC